UACGGGGGGAGCUAGCGUUUUUCGGAAUUACUGGGCGUAAAGGGCGCGUAGGCGGCUAAUAAAGUUGAAAGUGAAAUCCCUGGGCUUAACCUAGGAACUGCUUUCAAAACUCAUUAGCUAGAGUGCGAUAGAGGACAGUAGAAUUUCUAGUGUAGAGGUGAAAUUCUUAGAUAUUAGAAAGAAUACCAGCGGCGAAGGCGGCUGUCUGGGUCGUAACUGACGCUGAGGCGCGAAAGCGUGGGGAGCAAACAGG
rnacentral:rRNA from 1 species